UGAGCACCUAUGUUUUUUGUUAUUCUUUUUUCCCUCUUUGUGUCAAAUUGCUCGGAACUGUACGUUGAAGAACAUUCCCAACACCACAGCCCUCUGUGUACUGCAGAGAACUGUGGGAAACAGCAGCACCCUCCAACAGUGAACAAGACUGCAGACACUGCUUUGAGAGAGAGCACCUAGCCACCCACUCAGCACCUCUGCCACACCCACUACAGGGUCUUAGCCGCCCCACCGGCGGUGCCAGCAUGACAAUUGGCGAACUCACUGAACUGUAAAUACUGAAUAAUGGGACAGGAUGUAGUUUUUUGUGUCAUUGUACAAAGAUUUGUUUAUUGUGAAGUAUGUCAGAGUUUGUAAUUGUAACUUUCAGAAAAUAUUGUAUUAAAAUGCACUCAAUAAAGAUUAAUAAACUAGAUUAAUUUGA